GCUGGGCGUGGUGGCUCAUGCCUGUAAUCCCAGCACUUUGGGAGGCUGAGGCGGGUGGAUCACCUGAGGUCAGGAGUUCAAGACCAGCCUGGCCAACAUGGUGAAAACUUGUCUCUA
rnacentral:SRP_RNA from 1 species